GAUGAACGCCGGCGGUGUGCCUAAUACAUGCAAGUCGAACGCGUUGGCCCAAUUGAUUGAUGGUGCUUGCACCUGAUUGAUUUUGGUCGCCAACGAGUGGCGGACGGGUGAGUAACACGUAGGUAACCUGCCCAGAAGCGGGGGACAACAUUUGGAAACAGAUGCUAAUACCGCAUAACAGCGUUGUUCGCAUGAACAACGCUUAAAAGAUGGCUUCUCGCUAUCACUUCUGGAUGGACCUGCGGUGCAUUAGCUUGUUGGUGGGGUAACGGCCUACCAAGGCGAUGAUGCAUAGCCGAGUUGAGAGACUGAUCGGCCACAAUGGGACUGAGACACGGCCCAUACUCCUACGGGAGGCAGCAGUAGGGAAUCUUCCACAAUGGGCGCAAGCCUGAUGGAGCAACACCGCGUGAGUGAAGAAGGGUUUCGGCUCGUAAAGCUCUGUUGUUAAAGAAGAACACGUAUGAGAGUAACUGUUCAUACGUUGACGGUAUUUAACCAGAAAGUCACGGCUAACUACGUGCCAGCAGCCGCGGUAAUACGUAGGUGGCAAGCGUUAUCCGGAUUUAUUGGGCGUAAAGAGAGUGCAGGCGGUUUUCUAAGUCUGAUGUGAAAGCCUUCGGCUUAACCGGAGAAGUGCAUCGGAAACUGGAUAACUUGAGUGCAGAAGAGGGUAGUGGAACUCCAUGUGUAGCGGUGGAAUGCGUAGAUAUAUGGAAGAACACCAGUGGCGAAGGCGGCUACCUGGUCUGCAACUGACGCUGAGACUCGAAAGCAUGGGUAGCGAACAGGAUUAGAUACCCUGGUAGUCCAUGCCGUAAACGAUGAGUGCUAGGUGUUGGAGGGUUUCCACCCUUCAGUGCCGGAGCUAACGCAUUAAGCACUCCGCCUGGGGAGUACGACCGCAAGGUUGAAACUCAAAGGAAUUGACGGGGGCCCGCACAAGCGGUGGAGCAUGUGGUUUAAUUCGAAGCUACGCGAAGAACCUUACCAGGUCUUGACAUCUUGCGCCAACCCUAGAGAUAGGGCGUUUCCUUCGGGAACGCAAUGACAGGUGGUGCAUGGUCGUCGUCAGCUCGUGUCGUGAGAUGUUGGGUUAAGUCCCGCAACGAGCGCAACCCUUGUUACUAGUUGCCAGCAUUAAGUUGGGCACUCUAGUGAGACUGCCGGUGACAAGCCGGAGGAAGGUGGGGACGACGUCAGAUCAUCAUGCCCCUUAUGACCUGGGCUACACACGUGCUACAAUGGACGGUACAACGAGUCGCGAACUCGCGAGGGCAAGCAAAUCUCUUAAAACCGUUCUCAGUUCGGACUGCAGGCUGCAACUCGCCUGCACGAAGUCGGAAUCGCUAGUAAUCGCGGAUCAGCAUGCCGCGGUGAAUACGUUCCCGGGCCUUGUACACACCGCCCGUCACACCAUGAGAGUUUGUAACACCCAAAGUCGGUGGGGUAACCUUUUAGGAGCCAGCCGCCUAAGGUGGGACAGAUGAUUAGGGUG
rnacentral:rRNA from 2 species